rnacentral:rRNA from 1 species
UACAUAGGAUGCAAGCGUUGUCCGGAAUUAUUGGGCGUAAAGAGUUCGUAGGUGGUUAUCUAAGUCUGGGGUUAAAGACGGGAGCUCAACUCCCGCAUGGCAUCGGAAACUGGAUGGCUAGAGUGUGGAAGAGGUAACUGGAAUUCCUGGUGUAGCGGUGAAAUGCGCAGAUAUCAGGAGGAACACCUGUGGCGAAAGCGAGUUACUGGUCCAUUACUGACACUGAGGAACGAAAGCCAGGGUAGCAAAAGGG